rnacentral:rRNA from 1 species
AUUGAACGCUGGCGGCAUGCCUUACACAUGCAAGUCGAACGGUAACGGGCCUUCGGGUGCCGACGAGUGGCGAACGGGUGAGUAAUGUAUCGGAACGUACCUUUCAGUGGGGGAUAACGUAGCGAAAGUUACGCUAAUACCGCAUAUUCUGUGAGCAGGAAAGCAGGGGAUCGCAAGACCUUGCGCUGAUUGAGCGGCCGAUAUCAGAUUAGCUAGUUGGUGAGGUAAAGGCUCACCAAGGCGACGAUCUGUAGCGGGUCUGAGAGGAUGAUCCGCCACACUGGAACUGAGACACGGUCCAGACUCCUACGGGAGGCAGCAGUGGGGAAUUUUGGACAAUGGGGGCAACCCUGAUCCAGCCAUGCCGCGUGAGUGAAGAAGGCCUUCGGGUUGUAA